rnacentral:tRNA from 1 species
GCACUAGUAGCUCAGAGUUAGAGCAUCGGCCUUGUAAGCCGGGCGCCGGAGGUUAAACCCCUCCCUACUGCU